AAAUUGAAAAACUUAUAGUUUUUAAACUUAUACAUUUUUAAACUUCUCUUUUCUGGUAUAUUUAUUUUUAAUUAUGCAAUUAAUAAAAUUUCAAUUUCAAUUUAAAAAAAAAAAAUUUAUUUUUAAGAACUCCUAAUUGGGGAUCACCAUUGAACACAUUAUUUUGACUAGAGUCUUUAACUAUUCAAACAAAAAAAAACAAAACAAAAAAUUAAUAUAAUAAUGAUAAGGCUACGAUGGACUAAUGGGAGCAAGGAACACGAGAGCGAGUCAGUCGCCACUACACUUAGAGAUAGAGGCCCUUAUAUGGGCAAUGGAAUGUAUGAGGAAUCUUAGACAAGCAUGGGUUACUUUUGCAACGGAUAGUGCUCAAUUGGUGAAGAUGGUGUCGGAACCAGAAGAGUGGCCAGCCUUUGCAAGCUAUUUGGAAGACAUAAAAGUUUUAAAGAGGAGUUUCAACAGCUCAGAGAUCAUUCAUAUACCACGGACACAGAACUCAAAGGCGGACAGUCUCGCACGCAGUGCAAGAAAGCAACCGUCGUUUGUCGUCCAUAUGGAUGCAGAGCUACCGGAAUGGUUCGCAGAGUCUAUAUGAAUCUGUUUUGUUUGCUGACAAAAAAAAAAAAAAAAAAAAAGGACUGCAAGAAGGAGUCCACCAUUGCUGAUGCUCUUAUUUACUUCCAUUUAAUACAUUAAUAAAAUAAGAAAAUAAAAAUAAAAAACACAUUAGUAAAAUAACAACAUACGAGAAGUUAGGGUUUACGGUUCCAGUCGACGAACGUAUACUGCCUCUGAGGGCAUUCGAUUUCUCCGUUCCUCCGACUUGCGUCGUGUUCACCGGCGUGACGAGUGUCGUCUUGGACAGGGAGCAUAGAAGUUAGGGUUUACGGUACCAGUCGACGAACGUAUACUGCCUCUGAGGGCUUUCGAUUUCUCCGUUCCUCCGACUUGCCUCGUGCUCACCGGCGUGACGAGCGUCCUCUUGGACAGGGAGCACAUAAACACCUUACUCGCACGAGUCUAGGUUCCGGUGGCUCUGGUCUUCUCCGCUAGUGGAGCUUGUCCUCCGAUUACAUUCACAGUGUCACGGUGGAUUUAGGUUCCGACAAAAUUUGAAUCAGUUCUAGUUGCUACUGACCACGUUAAUCAUCAACUCAAGAUAUGGCCUCAGCUAGCACUACGACUAAUUAUCCACAACGACUUUACAAAAAGGAGAAAACACCUAACCAACAAAAGAGUAUGAGUUACUAUAGUUAUUUGUCAAAUUUUCAAAUGGUGGAAGUAGGAGUAGGAAACGAUGCAUGGGAUGCACUUAAGAAGUCAUCAGUUGGAGUUUUUCCUAGAUUUUACGAGCUUAAUUUCACAUGGUCUGCAAAGGUUGUUCAUUACCUCUUAACGCAUCAGCUGGUAGUUAAAAAGAAUUAUGAGAUAUGGUCGUUGAUUGAUUGGCAGCCGAUUCGUCUCUCUUUGUUAGAGUUUGGUGAGAUAACUGGUUUGAAUUGUGCUAUGUUUGAUGAUGGCGACCUUUGCAAAGUUGACCAUAAAGAAUUUUGGGCAGAACUGAAUGUGUGUACAUCUGUUGGUCCUAGUCUGAAUGAGUUGCAGUUGGUAUUGGGAAGAUGCAAGAACUGGAGUCUUGAGAAAAGGAUUAUGGUAGGACGGUUGUGUAUUUUGCAUAUCGCAAUAUUUGGCAUAGCUCCUACAAGUCGGAUCCCGUUGGAGUGUGCAAAGCGAGUACUUGAUUUUGAAGCUUUCGAGAGAUAUCCAUGGGGUCGAGUUGCUUGU